GACACCAUAGCCGAAUGGUCAAGGCAACGAGGACACAUGUCAAGUUUUCAGGCAUCUCACUCGUUCAUGCAGGUUCGAAUCCUGCUGGUGUCG